rnacentral:snRNA from 1 species
AGCUUUGCGCAGUGGCAGUAUUGUACCCAAUGAGGUUUAUCCGAGGCAUGAUUAUUCUAAUUUAAAACCCCGGUCCCCUAACCCA